rnacentral:lncRNA from 1 species
AAUUCAUUCAAUCUACAUGAAGCAAAUUAGGAGAAUCUCCAAACUAAAUGGUACCCACUAAUCAGAUCAGAGCCCAUGUCUGUUGGGAAGAAAACAUACAGGAUGCAAGGAAGGGUAGUGAAAGUGAAAGAAACAACUACAGUUACAAAGACCAUUCUGUUGUAUGAAAGCAUUCAUGAAGAAUGAUGUCUCCUAUGAUUAACACGCUUUAGAAUGCAAAGACGCAGCCGUUGGCUAAGGGCCUCCAGUU